GCUUCGGCGGAAACAUAUACUAAAAUUGGAACGAUACAGAGAAGAUUAGCAUGGCCCCUGCGCAAGGAUGACACGAAAAAUCGUGAAGCGUUCCACAUUUUU
rnacentral:snRNA from 1 species